UACGUAGGGUGCGAGCGUUAAUCGGAAUUACUGGGCGUAAGGCGUGCGCAGGCGGUUAUUUAAGAAAGAUGGGAAAUCCCCGGGCUCAAACUGGGAACUGCGUUUGUGACUGGAUAGCUAGAGUAUGGCAGAGGGGGGGUGGAAUUCCACGUGUAGCAGUGAAAUGCGUAGAGAUGUGGAGGAACCCCGAUGGCGAAGGCAGCCCCCUGGGCCAAUACUGACGCUCAUGCACGAAAGCGUGGGGAGCAAACAGG
rnacentral:rRNA from 1 species